AAUUGACCUCAAAUCAGGCAAGACUACCCGCUGAACUUAAGCAUAUCAAUAAGCGGAGGAACAGAAACUAACCAGGAUUCCCUCAGUAACGGC
rnacentral:rRNA from 1 species